rnacentral:rRNA from 1 species
GAUGAACGCUGGCGGCGUGCUUAACACAUGCAAGUCGAACGGAAAGGCCAGUGCUUGCGCUGCUGCUCGAGUGGCGAACGGGUGAGUAACACGUGGGCGAUCUGCCCUGCACUUUGGGAUAAGACUGGGAAACUGGGUCUAAUACCAGAUAGGACCCUGCUUUGGGUGGUGUGGUGGAAAGUUUUUUGGGUGUGGGGUGAGCUUGCGGCCUAUCAGCUUGUUGUUGGGGUAAUGGCCUACCAAGGCGUCGCCGGGUAGCCGGCCUGGGGGGGGGUACGGCCACAGUGGGACCGAGAUACGGCCCAGACUCCUACGGGAGGGAACAGGGGGGAAGAUUGCACCAGGGGCGCAAGGCUGGUGCAGAGACGCCGCGGGGGGGAAGGCGGCCUUCGGGUUGUAAACUCGUUUCGCAACGGACGAAGGUGUUUGUGACGGUAGGUUGAGAAGAAGCACCGGCUAACUACGUG